GCGCCUGUAGCUCAGUGGAUAGAGCGCUGGUCUCCGGAACCAGGUGCGGGAGUUCGACUCUCCCCAGGCGCACCA
rnacentral:tRNA from 1 species